UACAGAGGUCCCGAGCGUUGUUCGGAUUCACUGGGCGUAAAGGGUGCGUAGGUGGCUUGGAAAGUUUGAUGUGAAAGCUCAGGGCUUAACCCUGAAAUGGCAUUGAAUACUGUCGAGCUGGAGGUUUGGAGGGGGGACUGGAAUUCUUGGUGUAGCAGUGAAAUGCGUAGAUAUCAAGAGGAACACCAGUGGCGAAGGCGAGUCCCUGGACAACACCUGACACUGAGGCACGAAAGCUAGGGGAGCAAACGGG
rnacentral:rRNA from 1 species